rnacentral:rRNA from 1 species
GACGAACGCUGGCGGCGUGCCUAAUACAUGCAAGUCGUACGCUUCUUUUUCCACCGGAGCUUGCUCCACCGGAAAAAGAAGAGUGGCGAACGGGUGAGUAACACGUGGGUAACCUGCCCAUCAGAAGGGGAUAACACUUGGAAACAGGUGCUAAUACCGUAUAACAAUCGAAACCGCAUGGUUUUGAUUUGAAAGGCGCUUUCGGGUGUCGCUGAUGGAUGGACCCGCGGUGCAUUAGCUAGUUGGUGAGGUAACGGCUCACCAAGGCCACGAUGCAUAGCCGACCUGAGAGGGUGAUCGGCCACAUUGGGACUGAGACACGGCCCAAACUCCUACGGGAGGCAGCAGUAGGGAAUCUUCGGCAAUGGACGAAAGUCUGACCGAGCAACGCCGCGUGAGUGAAGAAGGUUUUCGGAUCGUAAAACUCUGUUGUUAGAGAAGAACAAGGAUGAGAGUAACUGUUCAUCCCUUGACGGUAUCUAACCAGAAAGCCACGGCUAACUACGUGCCAGCAGCCGCGGUAAUACGUAGGUGGCAAGCGUUGUCCGGAUUUAUUGGGCGUAAAGCGAGCGCAGGCGGUUUCUUAAGUCUGAUGUGAAAGCCCCCGGCUCAACCGGGGAGGGUCAUUGGAAACUGGGAGACUUGAGUGCAGAAGAGGAGAGUGGAAUUCCAUGUGUAGCGGUGAAAUGCGUAGAUAUAUGGAGGAACACCAGUGGCGAAGGCGGCUCUCUGGUCUGUAACUGACGCUGAGGCUCGAAAGCGUGGGGAGCAAACAGGAUUAGAUACCCUGGUAGUCCACGCCGUAAACGAUGAGUGCUAAGUGUUGGAGGGUUUCCGCCCUUCAGUGCUGCAGCUAACGCAUUAAGCACUCCGCCUGGNGAGUACGACCGCAAGGUUGAAACUCAAAGGAAUUGACGGGGGCCCGCACAAGCGGUGGAGCAUGUGGUUUAAUUCGAAGCAACGCGAAGAACCUUACCAGGUCUUGACAUCCUUUGACC